CAACCCACUGCUCACCAGCCUGCCCCACUCCCUCUAUGUUCUUCUCAGAUCCUUCGCCCCGUCCACCGCGCCCCUGCACACGCUCCCCGCAACAAGCCUAGCCGCCACGCGUCGUCAGCGUGGCUCGGGGGGCUCCGUUUUAUCGCCCAGUACCCUUGCAUCACCUCACGCACGGCAGCCGGCUUGGGCUUGACAUGAUCGAUCUACAACACUUACGCAUUGCAAUCCGGAGAAUCCAUGAAUAUGCAAAAGAAGCCUUGAGAAUUAUUUUAGUCAUUUGUGUAUAGCAUGACGUUUCCAAAGAUAGAAUGAUGCAUGAUUGGUCAGCACACAAACUCUUGGCCAGGCACACUAUGGUGGUGGGAUGUUACUAACAAGCAUAAACAGACACCUAAGCGAUCAGAUACGGCGACUGUGCAAGUGUGUCAGGCCAACAGUUUGAGCAUCCGGCAACCAUGGUGACAAAGAAGAGCAUACUGGAACUGCUCUAAGUUUCCAUGUUCUCGGUAAACAAGUGAACUAAGAAAGCGAAACCUAUUUAGUAAAUGUUGGCAUAUACUGAUACGUUGGCAGCCUGGCACUGCACUAAUGGUGUGGUCUUCUAAAUUGUUAGAAUCAUUUUAAGUAGUUUGGUAGGUGUCCAUGCUAGUUUAACUAGCCAAGUUUGAGUCUAAUUUUGAUAGGUUGAUUAGUUAGUUUUCCAACAUGUCUCGUUUGCAUGUCGUAAGCAUUUGUGUUCUGUAGUCCAUAUAUGGUUCAAUGAGUUUGCAUAGCUAGUAGCCUACAUGCUGUACUAGUAUGUCUUGGACUCAGCAUGCCUUACUAGUCUAGUAAAAGGGCACUGCAGUCUGAGUCGUUCUAGAUGCUAUUAAGUCAGCGUAGGUUUGGAUUGCUUUGGCCAUGUAGCAGGUCAUAUCAUGGAACCAGGUCGUGCAAGAGUUUUUCCGUAAAAAAGCAAGCUUAUGUAAGAGUUCUGAUAUAAAAGAAUAAAGAGUACGCUAAAUUUUUCGUACACAUGUGUUCGGCUAUUUUGAUGCCAUCGAUUCAGUGAGCACAACCGAACAUAGAUUACUAAUGCAUAUGCCAAAUCAGCAGGUUACAGAGACUAGAUUGUUCCAAGUCGAUGUUGCUGGCGCUAAAACAUAUUAGUGCCAAGCUGGAUUUACUAGGAGGUAUUUUCUGAUAGUAGUUCUAUAUUGCGUGAAUGAUUCUUCACCAGAUCGAAUGGAAAGUUUGGAGUAUUAAUAGCAUUACUUGACUACAUUUUAUUAUCUUACACAUGCUUCUCUUUUUUUUCCUACCUAAUUUGUACAAGAGAACACUGCUUCUGUGAGAUAAGACUCAUUUCGGUUAGAUUAGGUUAAACAAUUCAUCAACUACUUUAUGCCUGCCUUACAUUUUCCCACCCCUAUAAAACACUUUGUUUCUGUUAACAGGGUGAAACUUACUAAUGAAACAGGCUGAGUUAGUGUACUGUAAGCUAAAAUGACUAUUGUUAGCUACAAAUAUUAUACUGGACACAUCCGAACAACAAUGCUCCUCUUACUUUAAU